rnacentral:rRNA from 1 species
UACGAAGGGGGCUAGCGUUGUUCGGAAUUACUGGGCGUAAAGCGCACGUAGGCGGAUAUUUAAGUCAGGGGUGAAAUCCCGGGGCUCAACCCGGAACUGCCUUUGAUACUGGGUAUCUCGAGUCCGAGAGAGGUGAGUGGAAUUCCGAGUGUAGAGGUGAAAUUCGUAGAUAUUCGGAGGAACACCAGUGGCGAAGGCGGCUCACUGGCUCGGUACUGACGCUGAGGUGCGAAAGCGUGGGGAGCAAACAGG